rnacentral:rRNA from 1 species
UUGCGGCAUGCUUUCACAUGCAAGUCGGACGGCAGCACAGAGAAGCUUGCUUCUUGGGUGGCGAGUGGCGAACGGGUGAGUAACGCAUCGGAACGUACCGAGUAGUGGGGGAUAACUGCCCGAAAGGGGAGCUAAUACCGCAUACGCUUUGAGAAGGAAAGCGGGGGAUCUUCGGACCUCGCGCUAUUCGAGCGGCCGAUGUCUGAUUAGCUAGUUGGUGGGGUAAAGGCCUACCAAGGCGACGAUCAGUAGCGGGUCUGAGAGGAUGAUCCGCCACACUGGGACUGAGACACGGCCCAGACUCCUACGGGAGGCAGCAGUGGGGAAUUUUUGACAAUGGGCGCAAGCCUGAUCCAGCCAUGCCGCGUGUCUGAAGAAGGCCUUCGGGUUGUAAAGGACUUUUGUCAGGGAAGAAAAGCUUUGGGUUAAUACCCUGGAGUGAUGACGGUACCUGAAGAAUAAGCACCGGCUAACUACGUGCCAGCAGCCGCGGUAAU